rnacentral:lncRNA from 10 species
GGUGCCUCAGCCAUCAAUGGGUGAAGAAAGAAAUCUUUCCUCCCCUAUAGUUUCUGGUACCCAUUGAAGGACAGCUGAGACACCCGACUUACUCUGGAGCUAGCAGAUGAAACCCUGGGACAACUGACAAAAGCCAGCAAAAGAUAAGGAUUCUUAUCAAGGUCAGCUAUCUCACAUCUCUGUCUGUAGUGCUCAGUCAAGACAGGAAGAUAUAAAAACUUCUUGUCUCACCCUUUCAAAGUUUAGAUUAGCAGGAGAAAACAUCUUUGUAUGAACUAAUUCUUUGGGCAUAGCAACUUUUGUGAUUUUGCUUAAGUACUCUUGAUUUUUUUUAUCAUUUAACUCCCAAAGAUAGUCUUUUUCCCCAUGUCUCUAUCUUUUUGUGUUUGUCACGACAAAGACAAUCAGAAAAUGUUCUCCUUCUGUCUUAUUGUAUCUUGAGAGCUUGGCUUGUAACUAGUGAGAGGAAAUUUUCCCUGGUGUCCACCAACCAGGAAUGCUGGUUGUGGAAAUCUGGAUCUAGUGGUUAGCUUUGAAGGAGAGAAAACCCGAGGAAUGUCUGUCAGACCAUACCAACUCUCAGGGGAAUUUGUCUCAUCUCUACCUUAGUUGCUAUGUCCUGUGGCAAUGAGGAUCUUUGCUUUCUUAAAGCUAUCUUUGGGAGUGACUCUUGGAUCGUGGGAGUUGCUUCUUCUGCACCUGCUCCAGGGAUGCCCCUUUUAUCCAUUGUAAAAAUUUGUUCUAAGCCUGGAAAGUUAACUCUAGGUCUUAUCACGAAAAGGAUUAUUUGACUAUGUCACUUUUUGAAUAAGUGCACUUCUGGAGAUCCCACUUGUCAAUGACUAGAUGAUGAAUCCUUUGAUUUGGAAAACUUUUGUAUUUGAAAGAGUUCUUAUCCUAAACAAAUGCCCUAUUGGUACCUGUGGGGAGAUCAAAUUGAAAUGGGGACACAAAAGAGCAUUACAACUAGCCUUAGGGACUAGUUGUAGUCCCUAGUCUACAAAGAACAGAAAUAAAAAUACACGGGUUUCCCUGUUUCUUUGGGCCUUUAUUGUCUUAUGAAGGCUCCUGUGUCACAUAAAACACAUUAAGCAAAUUUGUAUUAUUUUCUUUUGUUAAUUUGUCUUUUGUUAUAGGGGUCUUAGCCAUGAACUUAGCAAUUGGUGAGAAAAGAAAUCAUUUUUUUCCCUUCAAAAUACAAAAACCAUUGAAUGUUCAAUUGCCAAGGGGUUAUUGAAAUAUUUUUAUUUACAUUGCUUCAAUGUUGGCCACCACUGUAGGCUUAUGAUAGAAUUUGCUAAUUUUUAAACGUUGGGUAUUUUAAACUUUCUGUUUUACAAUAUAUAGUUUAUGUUUGAAUUGAGGUAAGAAAUAGGAAUAAAAGGUCUGAAGUAAUCUGACCUGUGUCAUGCUACAAAUUAUUACUUUGAUUUUAGCUUUAAAGAAUAAACUUGUAAGGCUAUUUUAUCUUUAUUGGCUUGAUGACUUGUUUCUGGAAUUAGAAUCUGAAUUUGCUUAACAUCUUAUCAACAUAGGGCAACAUCAUUUAUGUAUAUCUUAAAAGGUGACAAACAGAAAUGUGUUUUGAUUAGCACCUGCCCUCCAAGUCACCCACACACAAAAACUUUUCUCGUUAGAGCACAGCCCAACUCCUCAUUGUUUAAUCAAACUGAAUACCAUGACCCUACUUGAAGUUGAAAUAAUUUAAUGCUAAAAUCUCAGCCUGAAUUUUAUUUAUGAACCAGCUGCCUGUGAAAUAUGCAUAGGCAUUUGAAAUUAGUAAUAAUGAGUAGAAUAUAUACAUAUUUAAAAAAAUACAUGGAUCAUUUCCUGCCUUUUUUUGUGGUUAAAGCAGUCUAGGAGAGCAGCAGCCUCCUCCAGCUGCUAUUAUCAUUCCACAUUUCUCUUUUACUGCCCAUCAAACAUGUAUAGAUUUAAUGACCUGGAGAGGGAUCAGUGAAAUUCUUCACAGCACUGCAUGUUUAUUAAUGGGCCUCCUGUUCAUUGUGAUGUGAUAGUGUCAGGAUUAUGCCAGUGGUAUUGCAGGAGGCAAUUGAGUGUUUCUUUAUUCCUGAUAAAAAGGAAAUUAGCCACUGAUCAGCAACACAGAGACAACUUAACAUUCUCGUGAAGUAAACCAGAAUAUUUCACCCCAGAAUAUACUUUGACGUGUUGUGGGAUGGCUAUUCAGAGAGGCUAUAAGCCACAGGACAGCCUUGAAAAGUUGUCCUUUUGUAGGGGAGAUUUGCAUCUGUGGAGGAAAUCUACAUAGUGAGAUAAAUAGUGGAUGCAAACAGGGUUUUCUGAUGCCCCCCUCCAUACCCCUCUUAUCAAGAUCUAGGAAAAAUUAACUCACAGGAAAAGGAGACUAAAAGUUUCACACUUCUAAAAGCCUGACAGAGAAACUUUUAGCACAGGCUGUCAUCUAUUCUUUCUGAGGGCAGCCCUGAAAUUUCCAGAGAGAUUAUAUUUGCAUAACAUGCCAAAUUUUGCUUGCCAUGCUUCUCUUCCUUCUUUCAUCCAUAACCUGUGAUGCCCCUCAACCCCUCCACAGCAGUCCCAGGCACCUAGUCUAAACCUUCAGUCAUCUGGCCUCUCUUUUUGUAUGUGGCUCCUUUGCCCUAUGAACGUUAAUAUAUCUGUAUCCUUUUUUUUUCUGUUAAUCAGUCUAUUGUCAAUUUAUUUCAACAAACUUAGACUAAAACCUUCAGAGGCAGAGGGAAUUCUCUUUGCCCUUACACUGACAAUGCACGGGGGAAGGAGAAAGACAAGGAUCGUAAAGAGAUUAGAAGAUAAAGUGAUAUUUGAUUAGUUUGCCCUGUUCUAGGACAUGACAAAAAAGGAACAGCAGCAUGGGCUGGAAAAGAGGAAGUAAUGGACAAUAAUGAAAGCAAAAAUUAAUUUAAGUAUGGAUAGGAAUGGGGGUCAUUGCAGUGGUUCUUAAUUUCCUUUGGCAAGGAGAACAUUUUGUUCAUUCAAUUAUAUUUAUUUCAAUUUCAUUCAAGAGGAAAUUUUUGAUCAACUGUUUAUAUGAGUCCAUGGAGGUUUUUUUUUUUUUUUUUUUUUUGGUGGGAUGUAAGAAUAAUUAGGAUUUAAUUCCUACCCUGAGAUAGAAAAACAAAUCUUAGAAAACAGCUCAUUGAUUGUUGGUGGAGAAUGUUUUGGGGCGCAGAUAUUGUUACCCAGAAACAUGGUACUUUGACGAGCUGAACUGAAGAAAAUGCCUCAAGGUCUUUCUGACCUUCCCCUGCUCUAUCUCAAUCCUCUGUCUCUCCCAAACCACAGGAAGAAGUUGUACUCUGAAGUUUCCUUAUCUGCCUAAAAUCUGGACACACCAAAGAAGAAAACAAUCACCCCUGAUCCCUUCCCUGAGUUUUCAUUAACUCAACUCAUAUUGCAGGAAGAAAGACUGAAGUCCUUCAACGCACCUGAGAAGACUUUUGUCACAAACCAUUGUCUGCUUGGUGGGCUCAACAGACUUUGUCCCGGGCCAUUGUAUGUUUUUCAAGCUCAUUGAAUCCUCUUAAAAAUCAUUUACUAGCCCCCUAAAAUCACCCACAUUUCCCCAUCUCCCUUUCUUUUAAGAAGAAGGGUACAUAACCAUCUGUACCUUCUUGUGUGGUGUGGUAAUCACUCUGUGAUUUCUUCCAUGCAUGUUAGUAAAUGUGCAUGCCUUUUCUUCUACUAACCUGCCUUUUGUUAGUUGAGUUUCAGCAAACCUUCAGAGGUUAAAGGGGAAGUUUUCCCUUGGUCUCUACAGCUUUGGCAUCAUGAACAGGAUAACCAGUCACUCUGCUCUUCUGGAAGCUGCAGUCAAGGAAACUCAGGAUGUGACAAACUGGCAGAAGGGAAAUAAAUUCUUACCAGCUGGACUCUCAGCCUCUAUUUCUGCAGAAUCCAGUUGAGUGGAUGCUAAAAAUCAGUUUGUCUCUUUUUCCCCUCCAAAAUAUUGGUGUAAUGGGAUAAAAAGAUUUAGGUGACAAGUCUUGGGUGUAGUGUCUCUGGUGUACUUUUUGGUAUGAAUAUUCAUGUUGUUUGAUCCCUUUCCUUCCAGAAAUAGUCUUUGUUUUUGAUUGUUUGUUUGUUGUUCUGUCACAAAGAGGGGUACCAUGGGUAGAACAUAGGUCUCAUAUCUCUAUUAGCUGGUUGUUUUAGCAGGAUGUGCGGACUGGUAAGUUUUGUGGUUCUGAUCACAACAGCAUCUAUUUAGAUAAACUUUCCUGUAGGUCUCCCAAAUAAAAACUGUAUGAGGUUCCCCUCUCAUCUUGUUUCAUGUCUUUGAGAGCUUUAUUUAAGAUCUAGUAGCAACAGUCUCUCUUGGUCUCUGCCAUCUAGGAGGCAUGAUUUUUGGGUCAUAUCCAGUGAUCAGUUGGAAAAUGUUGGAAACCCCUGAGAUUUUAAGCAGUACACUUCUUGUUCCAAGCAUGUCAAGCUGGCGUAAGGGGCUUUUGUUGUCUCAAUCAUUUGUUGCCUGGUUAGUCUUGGGAAAGUACAAUCCCAGGAGGGCCUACCUAGAGUCAUGGAUUAAUGGGUCUGUGAAUGGCAGCUUUCUACAGAUUUGUGGAACACUGAAGGUACUGUACACAGAAACACCAUCCUAAACUGUCUGUGGCAACACGAGUCAUUUUCUAUCCUGGCCUAUACCUGGGAGUGAAUUUUUUUGGAUCAUGGAGACUGCCUCUUUCAUGUCCUCUCCAGAAAAGAAAAACACUUAUUUUAAACCUGAAAAAUUACUUCCUGGGAUUUCCUUAAAGAAGCUUAAUUGGACUGAGUUGCUAUUGGAAUAAGCACACCAUAAGAAAUUCUAGUCAUUAGUGGCCAAAAGAUGGAUUCUUUAAAUUAGAAAGACCCUGAAAUUUAAAAAAAAGUUUUCAGAGCUCCUCAUUCUAAACAGUUGCCUUGUGGGAAGAUCAGAUUAAAAGAAAGACACAUAAUAGUGUCAUAGGAAGCCUUAAAAAUUAUCUUGAUGAAAUUAAAAAACAAAAAUUUGACCUAAAGCAAAGUUAAAAUUAUUUGUAACCUCAAACUGCCUGAUUUGGACCCCUGUGAAAUUUACAGUGAUGGCUUCUUUACCUUGUAGUCUAGUAGUUAAAAUUCUAUGAUUUCACUCUAACAACCUUAGGUUUGAUGCUUGGUUAGAUAACCAGUCCCUUUUAGUUUGAUACUUGCGUGAAGCUUAACUUUGGGGGUACCCAUUUGUUAUCCAUUCUUUUCCCUUCUAUGGACAAGUGUUGAUUUUCUGCCUUCUUCCAUCUGUGGGGACAUCUGGGCUUUUGGACUUUUGUCUAUAGAUGGUCAGCUGAGAAGCUGAGAGCCUAGAGUAUAUGGAGACAGAUAUGGGUUGUACCCCAUUUGUAGCUAAUGAACCUUUCCUUUCUUUCAGCUGUCUUUGGCGUAGUUUUGGAUUUUGUGAGGUCUGCUUUGCACCUCUUUGGAGAUGACCUGUGUGUCCUUGGUUAAGUCAUAAUUUUGGUUAAGCUCUAUUCAUUCUGGUGAGUUACUUGGAGGGUACUUUUGGUUAAAAACAAAAACAAAAAAAGCUCAAAAGCCAAAAAUAUUGUCGAUUUGUCCUGGCUAAGAUUUGAUAAUAAGAGAUUUGAGGGAAGUUUUCUUUUUUUAAAGAGCUCUGUGGUCAGUAAGCGACUUAUUAAAAGCUGAUAUUCAAGAGUAUUUCUUUUUUAAAAUAACUCUCUGCUUUUUCUAUUUUGUAUUCUGUUUAUGGGAAGUUUUUUCAGUGAAUCAAAACCUCUUUUAAAAAGUUAUAUGCUUGCUGCUUCCAUUUACUUCCUUUCUGUGGGUAUGAUUUUUGCUAAAGAAAAAAUAAAACUUCAUUGACCUUUUACAAAGCUUAAAAAUCUCCCCAAAUUGCCUCUUAUGAGAAAAUUUCUCCCAUUUACUUUACUCCUCCUCCUGCAGUGCUUAUCUUUGAUAACACAUGAAAGAAUCUGGAAGGGACUUGUAAUGAUCCUGAGACCUCUUGAGGAACACAGAAGAAGGCACCACAAUCCUCAUUUUGGGGUCUUCUGUCUUCCUUGUGCAGUCUCAAGAGCAUGAACAGGUUACUCUUAGGUCUAAAGCUCUGCUGUCUUUUACACGGAACUCUUUUAUAUCUUUGGCUUUUAGAAACACACAUGUGCACCUGUGUAUGUCAUAUGUUGUGUCUGCAUGUACAUAUAUGUUUGUACAUGUGUUUGUAUAUUGGCUACGUGGUAACACACUAACAUAAAUAAAUGAGUACUCAUAAAUUAACUAGCCCGCUUUUCAAGUUCAUGUGGCUUUAGUAGUUUUUGGUAAAUAAAGCUAAUUUUAAAAUUGUUGGCAAAAUAGAAAUGUCUUCAGAGUUUUAGAUAUUUUUGUCUGGGUCUACUCAUCAGACUAAUUUAUACUAUUUAUGAUAGAUGUUUUCAGGUCACAAAGCUGUUGCUUCUGUGAUAUUUUUGUGCUUGUUUGAUCUGUCUAUGAGUUUAUAUUUUUGGUUUUGAGGCUUUAAAUUCUAAGGUCUAGACAAUUGGCCAUGGUCAGGCACAGGGACACAUGUGUGUCCACAGUGCCUAUGCCUCAUCCUCCCUGGCCCAUCUAUGCUUCCUGGCCAUGCUGGGAGGGGUCAGAUCCUCCAGGCAUUGUCUUCACAGGUCUGUCUUUUGUCCUGGGCUCUGCAUCUGAUACAUACCAAUUAAAAUUGCUUUCUUUCUAUAUUUCUUAUUGUAAGUUAGGUUUACUAUGUAAUUUAAACAAGUAGAUAUAAGAGAAACACUUCUGUAUGCAAAGUAUAUAAAGAAAAUAGGAUGUGUUUUUGGUAAGGAAGGUUAUAAAGAAGGUGUGAGAAUAUGACUUUUGUUAAAGAAAAAGUAGUUUUGUUUAGUUUAAAGAUUUUUAAAUGUUGUUUUAAAUUGAAGAAAUAAAAAAUGAGAAUUGAUAAAACUAAAUGGAAAAAGAAUGUUGGGAAAAGAAAGAAUAGGAAAAAAUUUAAGAGGUUAUAAAAGGUUUAUCACAAUCUUAUGUGGCCAAAGCUGAAUGAGAUUAGAUAAAUCUAUUUAUAAGGUUUUAUUAAAAUUAGGUUUCAUAUUAAUAAUACAUUGAUACAAGGGUAAAGUUGAGAGGGAGGUAAAGAGAGAGGAAGAAAGUCUCAUAUUGUCUUUAUUAGGGCUUUUGACUAUUUGGAAAACUGAGUCUCCUUUCUCUCUAAGAGUAAAGGUUUUUGCUUUUUGAAAUUUUUGAAUUAUUACUUUGGCUAAAUUAAUUAAUCUUUUAUAGUGACCUGUGAUCCUAUUUUGAUUGAGUGUUUUAAGCGUCCCUUAUUUUGAUAUUAAGUGUUUUAAACCUUUGAUAUUUGACAAACUUCCCAAAAUCAAAUAACAAAUUUUAAAUCUAUCUUUUUGACCUUAAACAGAUUUUUGGAUGUUAGGACCCUUGGAAGUCCAAAUGAGAACCCUGAAAGUCUAAGGGAGACAUAUUAGGCUUCUUUCAUAUGUUAAAAUUAUACUGUCAUUAUUGUCAAAUAAGAAAUGGUGUUUAUUUGUAUGGAUGUUAUUAAUAUGUGUUCCAAAAUUGUAUGGAAUUCCUAGAAAUCUGAUAUGUCUUGGUAUAUUAAGUAAAUUGCCUUAUCCUGAUGUUUUUUCUUCUAAAAGCUCUUUGCGAAUUCUAACGUGUUUUACCUUCAAGAAAAUUCAUGGAAAGAUCCAUGAGAAGUACUCUUAAAUACAGGUUUCAAAUAACACUGGAUCAUAUAAUUGGGCUAAAUAAAAACUUCCAGAACUCUAAUAAAAUAAGCCUAAUUGAUUCAUGAAGAUUGCUAACUCAACAUUAAGAAGAACAAGAAUUAAUUACACAGGACUGAACUGAUGGCAGUCAUAAAUGAUUUUUAAUGACUUUUUGUUUGAAACAUUGCGGAUUCUUUUUAUGUUUUCUUUUCCAGAGUCAAGAUUUUUUUUUCUUUUGAGUUAUGUGUAGCUUUCAGCAAUUGGGUAAAGUAUACUUUUGUGAGCAAAAUUGAAACAUUUACCUUUCCCUCUACCUGAUUUCUCCAGAAUUUGGAAACUGUUUAUGAGUAUUCUUAUCUUAUGGCAAUAUAAUUAUUUGCAUAAGUUAGAUAAGAAUAUGUUUUAUUUUGCAACAGGACACAAUCAGAAAUGCUGCUUAUUUUAUCAAGGUUUUGACUGGAAUGACAUAUUUUCAGAUAUGUCCAGACUGCUUUGAAGAAUUGAGGUUGACUUUAUUGAACUGAUGAAAAGCCCUUUGGAAAGGCUGACCUGGUACUUUAUCUACAUGGUUCCUUUUCAAUGUUUCUGACCUUGUGAUAUUAAUUAACGAAGAACAUAUUGCGUGCCAGGAAAUACUCUACAUGUUGGAGACAUAUCAAAAAGUCCAUAUAUUCUGGGAAUGCUUUACUAGCACUAUUGCAUUUUAUUAUACAAUCACCUUUGUUAGGAGCUGAAUUGUGUCUCCCUAACCCAUUAAUAUGCUGAAGUCCUAACCCCUACUACCUCAGAAUGUCACUAUACUUGAAAAUAGGAUUUUUGAGGGGGUGAUUAUGGUUAAAUGAGGUCAUAGGAACACCAAUCCAAUAUGACUGGUGUUGUUAUAAGGAGAGGAGAGAUGAGGCCACCGAACACGCAGAGGGAAGACCAUGUAAAGAAGACUCAGAGAGAAGACAGCUGUCUACCAGCUGGGAGGGAGGCCUCAGGAGGAACUAACCUGUGAACACUUUGGUCUUGGCCUUCUAUCUUUCAGAACUGUGAGAAAAUAAAUUUGUUGUUUACACCACCCACU